rnacentral:rRNA from 1 species
CUACGGGGGGCUCCAGUGAGGAAUAUUGCACAAUGGGGGGAACCCUGAUGCAGCAACGCCGCGUGGAGGAUGACGCAUUUCGGUGUGUAAACUCCUUUUAUAUGUCAAGAAAAUGACGGUAGCAUAUGAAUAAGCACCGGCUAACUCCGUGCCAGCAGCCGCGGUAAUACGGAGGGUGCAAGCGUUACUCGGAAUCACUGAGCGUAAAGGACGCGUAGGCGGGUUGGAAAGUCAGGUGUGAAAUCCUACAGCUUAACUGGAGAACUGCACUUGAAACUUCUAAUCUAGAGUAUGGGAGGGGGAGAUGGAAUUAGUGGUGUAGGGGUAAAAUCCGUAGAUAUCACUAGGAAUACCUAAAGCGAAGGCGAUCUCCUGGAACAUUACUGACGCUAAGGCGUGAAAGCGUGGGGAGCAAAUAGGAUUAGAUACCCCCGUAGUC